rnacentral:lncRNA from 1 species
CACUUGUAAACAGAUACCAAUACAAUCAUUUGUUUAAGUGUGGUAGGUAAUGGAAUACCCUGUAAUCAAAUAUCGAUCCAUUCAUCUACCCAGUGAAUCCAUACCGAUGCCUUCGUGACGGUAUCGUCUCCCCCGUGUGAACUCCCUCGCAUUCCUCUCCUCACGCCGCCUCCACUCGUGCAGUCGCCUCCCUUCGCGCCGCCGCCUCUCCUCGCGUCGUCGACCGCCUCUCACCGGUGAGGAUGUAUCCUCCUCUCUAUCCCUCCCUCUCCCUCUUGCAUCCAGCUUUAUCCCCAAGUUUUCUCCGAAACCCUAACCUCCCCGCGCGCCCGUGAGUAUAGCAGCACGUCCUGAGCCUACAACAAAGUUGAUGCUCGGUGGGUUUUGGAGCCUUGUUUGUGAGGUUCGGUCGAUUUUACAGGCAGUCUAACGAUCUGCUCCUGGUACUUCUGGUUCAGGGCGCCACCUCAUCAGGUACUGCUAGCUGGAAGCUUUGUACCCCUUGAAAAAGUUCAGAUUUGAUUUCUACUUGAUGUGGUGGUCUGGAUCUGGUUCAUUUGUCUUUGGGGUCUUGAGAUGCUCAUGAUGAUUCCAUGAUGAUUAGUAUGUGAUUAGUAAAUACCACUAUGUCGUGCCUUCCACUCUCUCUAUCUCUCUGUGAUAAAAAAGUCGCAUUUUUAGUCCAGAGAAGUUAGGGAAAUGCAAGGAAGAACAACAUUUUGUUGUAGCUAGGUGAGGAGGAGAGGGAACGAAGCUCAAUUUAGAUAUCUAAUAAAUAGUAUCCUCCUUCCUGACCUACAGAUGAUUUUGCAGGGAACAUGAUAUGAUUCCCAACACGAAAGCUAAAGCUUUGGUUCAAAUGACCAUAUAUUCUCAUCUUUUAAGGGCCCCUCUUCUGCUUAUGGAUGAGAUUGAUAAUCCAGAAACGGGCAAUAGGACGGUUUGGGUCAGAUAAUCUAGAAACCGGCAAAUAAUCAUGACCUCAAGAAUAUAUGCAUCUUCUACUCAUGUUGAUUUCCAGCAUUGAAAUCUAUGUCUACUAUACAUAUAUUAACGCCAUUAUGGCCCGUCUAGUUUGAAUUUCCUGAUCUUAUUUUACUAUAUUAUCCUUGAACAUCACUAUGGUUCGUCUUCCUUUAUCUACAUGAAUAGUGAAAGUCGCCUAGAGGGGGGGGGGUGAAUAGGGCGAAACUGAAAUUCACAAAAUUAAUCACAACUACAAGUCGGGUUAGCGUUAGAAAUAUAAUUGAGUCUGAGAGAGAGGGUGCAAAACAAAUCGCAAGCGAAUAAAGAGUGUGACACGCGGAUUUGUUUUACCGAGGUUCGGUUCUUGCAAACCUACUCCCCGUUGAGGUGGUCACAAAGACCGGGUCUCUUUCAACCCUUUCCCUCUCUCAAACGGUCCCUUGGACCGAGUGAGCUUUUCUUCUCAAUCACUUGGAACACAAAGUUCCCACAAGGAUCACCACACGAUUGGUGUCUCUUGCCUCAAUUACAAGUGAGCUUGAUCUCAAGAAAGAAUGAGAAAGAAAGAAAUCCAAGCGCAAGAACUCAAAACAACACAACAAAUCACUCUCACUUAACACUAAAGCUUUUGUGGAAUUGGGAGAGGAUUUGAUCACUUGGGUGUGUCUUGUAUUGAAUGCCUAGCUCUUGUAAGUGGUUGGAAGUGUGAAAACUUGGAUGACUUGAAUGUGGGGUGGUUGGGGGUAUUUAUAACCCCAACCACCAAACUAGCCGUUUGGUGGAGGCUGCUGUCGCAUGGCGCACCGGACAGUCCGGUGCGCCACCGGACAGUGUCCGGUGCGCCAGCCACGUCACCAGGCCGUUGGGUUCCGACCGUUGGAGCUCUGACUUGUGGGCCCGCCUGGCUGUCCGAUGGAGCACCGGACAAGUCCUGUAGACUGUCCGGUGUGCCACCCGCGCGUGCUGGCGCGCAUUUAAUGCAUUGCAGUCGACCGUUGGCGCGAAGUAGUCGUUGCUCCGCUGGCUCACCGGACAGUCCAGUGUGCACCGGACAUGUCCGGUGAAUUAUAGCGGAGCGGAAAUCCGAAGCUGGCGAGUUCAGAGUCGCUCUCCUCUGGGGCACCGGACACUGUCCGGUAAAUUAUAGCCAAGCGCCUCUGAAAAUUCCCGAAGGUGCGAAGUUUGGCUUGGAGUCCCCUGGUGCAUUGGACACUGUCCGGUGGCACACCGGACAGUCCGGUGCGCCAGACCAGGGCUGCCUUCGGUUAUCCCUUGCUCUCUUUUGUUGAACCCUUUCUCUUAGUCUUUUUAUUGGCUAAGUGUGAACCUUUGGCACCUGUAUAACUUAUAGACUAGAGCAAACUAGUUAGUCCAAUUAUUUGUGUUGGACAAUUCAACCACCAAAAUCAAUUAGGAAAUAGGUGUAAGCCUAAUUCCCUUUCAAUCUCCCCCUUUUUGGUGAUUGAUGCCAACACAAACCAAAGCAAAUAUAGAAGCGCAUAAUUGAACUAGUUUGCAUAAUGUAAGUGCAGAGGUUACUUGGAAUUGAGCCAAUAUACAUACUUAUAAGAUAUGCAUGGAUUGUUUCUUUUAUUUUUGACAUUAUGGGCCACGCUUGCACCACUUGUUUUGUUUUUGCAAAUUCAUUUGUAAAUCCUUUUCAAAGUCCUUUUGCAAAUAGUCAAAGGUAAAUGAAUAAGAGUUUUGAGAAGCAUUUUCAAGAUUUGAAAAUUUCUCCCCCCUGUUUCAAAUGCUUUUCCUUUGACUAAACAAAACUCCCCCUUGAUAAAUUCCUCCUCUUAGUGUUCAAGAGGGUUUUAAGAUACUGAUUUUGAAAAUACUACUUUCUCCCCCUUUUGAACACAAUGAGAUACCAAUUUGAAAAAUCAUACCAAUUGAAAAACGCUUUUUUUUUUAAAUUAGGUGGUGGUGCGGUUCUUUUGCUUUGGGCUCAUGCUCUCUCCCCCUUUGGCAUAAAUCACCAAAAACGGAAUCAUUAGAGCCCUCGAAAUAACUUUCUCCCCGUUUGGUAAAAGACAUAUGAGUGAAGAUUAUAUCAAAAGAUGGAGAGAUGCUCGGAGCGACGGCGAAGGAUGAGUGACGUAGUGGAAGCCUUUGUCUUCGCCGAAGACUCCAAUUCCCUUUCAAUACACCUAUGACUUGUUUUGAAAUUCACUUGAAAACAUAUUAGUCAUAGCACAUGAAAGAGAUAUUGUAACGCCCUGAAUUUGGGGUAGAAUUUUUUUUCCUUCUUCUCCCCCACCAAAUUCAGGCGUUACCAUUUCCUUUUCCCUUUUCUCCUCGCUAAACCUUGAUCUUUUCCAAAGUUAUAGCGGGUUUUGGCUUUAGAUCUUGUGUAAAGCAAAACCCUAAAAUGCUUUAUUUUGUUUGCCGCACCAUGCCGAGCUAUGCAUUUAUUUUGUUUGGUUGAGAUUGUGGAAAUCAAUCAUCUAAAAUUGAAGAAAAGGAAAACCUUUUUCUCUCUUCCCUCCCCCCUCCUUCCUCAUUUCGGCCCAGCCGCCCCCCCCCCUUGGCGCGCGCGGCCCAGCCGGCCGGCCCAACCGGCCUUUUCCCCCCUUCCCGCGUGGGCCCCGCGGCGGCCCAGCCGCCCCCCCUCCCCCGCCGUGGGCCGGCCCAGCCGCGCCUCCCUCCCCCUUUGGGCCCAAGCGGCCCAGCCGCCCCCUUCCCCUUUUUUUCUUCCAAAAUUUCCCUCCCCGCGGGCCCCGCCCGUCAUUCUCCCUCCCUCUCUCCCUCUCCCUAACCCUAACCGCCGCCGCCGUCGCCCUAGGGCCGCCGCUGCCCCUUCCCCCGCGCCGUGGGCGCGCUCGCCCCAGCCUCGGCCGCCCCUCCGGCGAGCCGCCCCGCCCCGCCCCGUCCCGUGCCCGGCUCGGCCUCCCCCGUCGCGCCCGUCCCCGGCGAGCCCCGCCCCUGCUCAGCCGCCCCUCCCCGGCGUGGUGGCCGGCCGUGUCCUCGCCCCGCCCGUGCCUCGCCCGCCGUGGUCCGCGGCGUCCUCGCUCGCCCGUGCUCGCUUGCCCCGGCGUGCUUGCCCGCUCGCCCCGCCGUGCCUUGCUCGCGUCGUGACGGCCCCGGCGCGGCCUCGAGCUCGGCUAGCGCGCGGCCCCGACGUGCGCACAGCUAGUUCGCGGCGCGUGCGUGCGGCCUCGCGCGCAUGCCCGCGUAAUGCGCAGUGCCUUGGCACGAUCGUCGUGCCUUCGUCUACCCCCCGUAUCUUAUGCACGCUAAUCACGUUGUUUAUAUUAAUAAGAUAGGAGUCUCAAUUUAGAAAUUGGUUACGUUAGUUAAUUUGUAUAGCUAAUCGUCUACCUCAUUCAAUGUUAAUCUACUAAAAGUGGUCACGUUUGCAUUAGUGCAUGUAGCUAAUCCUUAUUAUUGAAGCUAAGCAGAACUAGAGCACGUAACGCUUAGCUAUUCGUUUACCCGUAAUACGUUUCGAGUAAGCUUUAACCCCUGCGAGACCUUCCCCUGUUUUCUUUCUAACCAUGGUAAAUGCAUUAUCGUAUGUGAUAUUCUAUGCACAUUUACUUUAUUUGUUCUCUGGUAUGGUGUACUGUUUGUUUCCUAAUUUGAAUGGAUGGAUGUAUGUAUGCUUGCAAUCGCAUAGAGAACGAUUCGGUCGAGGAGCCCGAAGAACUCGCAGGAGAAGCCCCUGAGCAGCAGUCGGUUGGUGGAGGCAAGUGUCCCUUGACCUAUCUCUGUCCUAUUCAUUCUUUAAUUCACCUCCCGCUUUACACAUGUAUACCUAAGGAUUGACUAGCUUUUGUUAUCCAUGUCCUUGUUUACCUAUUCGGGUUGGAUUAUUAUUGUUUAGCUUUAUGCUAUUGCUCAAACUCUAAUCAAUGAACAUGAUGAGAUUAUCUAUGAUACGCUGUUUUCCCUUCUCUUAUUAUGAUGUUGUACUUGUGGCCUUUAAGGGGGCUCGAGCGGUUUCUCGAGUGCUUCUCCGUAAGGAUCUGUUCUAUGGAUGACCGCCCGGGAAAACAGUGCAACCAUGAGGGUGGAAUGGGGUGCCCUUAGCUGAAUAAUUAGAGGAUCCGGGGUGUAGUUCGCUUAGCCGUUGUGCCGUCUAUGGGGCUCGGUGUAUGCGGCUCGCUCUGCCAAGUUUGGGUUCGCCCCUUGGGGAGGAGUGCGGUGCAUUUAGGAAACCUAACGGGCGGCUACAGCCCCGGGGAAUCUUUGUAAAGGCUACGUAGUGAUGCCCUGCUAGGCCACCUAGGUAGUGGUCAAUGGGGAGUAGCUCUCUCCGGGCAGAAAGGGAAUCACGGCUUGUGGGUAAAGUGCACAACCUCUGCAGAGUGUUUGAAAACUGAUAUAUCAGCCGUGCUCGCCGUUAUGAGCUGCCAAGGGAGCUCCAGUGAUUAGUGGUACUUGAUCAGAGACACUUUGGUUUACAGGUGGCAAUGAGACUGAUGGUUUUGGUUAUGACUAUGG